CUAUACCAUUUUAAAACCGAGCAAGACGGUUUUCACAUGGCUGAAGUGGGAAGGGUUAAUCGAAGUCAAACAAUUAGUGGGAAAUAAAGAGUUCAGUCAAUUGCGUCAAAUGAAGACGUUAAUUAAAAGAGAGCAGCGGAGCAUCUGAUCCAUAUGGAGGGAUGAAUAAUAUGACACCAAUGACAACAUGAUGCAAACACAGGCGACCCGCGCACAUGACCGCAAAUAAUCG